UACAGAGGUCUCAAGCGUUUGUUCGGAUUCAUUGGGCGUAAAGGGUGCGUAGGCGGCGCGGUAAGUCGGGUGUGAAAUCUUGGAGCUUAACUCCGAAACUGCAUUCGAUACUGCCGUGCUUGAGGACUGGAGAGGAGACGUGGAAUUUACGGUGUAGCGGUGAAAUGCGUAGAUAUCGUGAAGGAAGACCAGUGGCGAAGGCGGGUCUCUGGACAGUUCCUGA
rnacentral:rRNA from 1 species